rnacentral:rRNA from 1 species
GAUGAACGCUGGCGGUAUGCUUAACACAUGCAAGUCGAACGGACUCUUCGGAGUUAGUGGCGGACGGGUGUGUAACGCGUGAGAAUCUGGCUUUGGGGUCGGGACAACUACUGGAAACGGUGGCUAAUACCGGAUGGGCCGAGAGGCAAAAGAGAAAUUUCCUGAAGAUGAGCUAGCGUUUGAUUAGCUAGUUGGUGUGGUAAAGACACACCAAGGCAGCGUGAAGUAGCUGAUCUGAGAGGAUGACCGGCCAAACUGGGACUGAGACACGGCCCAGACGACUACGGGAGGAAGCAGUGGAGAAUUUUCCGGAAUGGGCGAAAGCGUGACGGAGCAAUACCGCGUGAGAGAAGAAGGCUCUUGGGUUGUAAACCUCUUUACUUAGGGGAGAACAAAUUGACGGUACCUAAGGAGACAGCAUCGGCUAACUACGUG